CCUACGGGUGGCAGCAGUGAGGAAUAUUGGUCAAUGGGCGAGAGCCUGAACCAGCCAAGUCGCGUGAGGGAGUACUGCUUUAUGGGUUGUAAACCUCUUUUGUCGGGGAGCAAAAGCCGGACGUGUCCGGCUGUGAGAGUACCCGAAGAAAAAGCAUCGGCUAACUCCGAGCCAGCAGCCGCGUUAAUCCGGAGGAUGCGAGGGUUAUGAGGUUUUAUUGGGUUAAAAGGGUGCGCAGGCGGAGUUUUAUGGCAGCGGUCACAUCGUGGGGCUCAACCCCAUCCAGCCGUUGAAACUGGGGAUCUAGAGUGUGCGAGAGGUAUGCGGAAUGCGUGGUGUAGCGGUGAAAUGCAUAGAUAUCACGCAGAACCCCGAUUGCGAAGGCAGCAUACCGGUGCACAACUGACGCUCAGGCACGAAAGCGUGGGUAUCGAACAGGAUUAGAUACCCCUGUAGUC
rnacentral:rRNA from 1 species